rnacentral:snRNA from 1 species
UUAAUAUCGGCCAGGGAGAUACCAUGAUCAUGAAGCCAGUUUUCCCAGGGCCAGGCUCAUCCAUUACACUGUGGUUUCUCUAAAUGUGGGAAAGUUGGCAUCAUUUGUGGUAGUGGGGGACUGUAUUUACACUCUUCCCUG